CCACAACAUAACAAUCAGCCAUGUGACGAUGGGACACAUCCCGAAGAACAUAUCCCCUGAUGAGACGUUAUCAAGCGCUCCGAGGAUAUUUACAGUCUUGGGGCAAAGAAAUAUGUAUCAUCGAAAGAUCUACCUGGGUACCUUCAGGUACGAUAUCAGGGGACCGCCACUUCAGACGUUUGAGAUACCGGCUCGUAACAGAAUGAUGAAGUUCCUGACACUGUGGAUCCACA